rnacentral:tRNA from 1 species
GCGAGCGUGGCGGAAUUGGUAGACGCAGUGGAUUUAGGUUCCACCGGGCAACCGUGGGGGUUCGAGUCCCUCCGCUCGCACCA